rnacentral:tRNA from 7 species
ACUUGUCUAGCUCAGUUGGUAAAAUACAAGGCUCUUAACCUUGUGGUCGUGGGUUCGAGCCCCUAGUGGCUA